CAUUUACCUGGAACGUUUAGUGUGAAAUCCACUUUGGCUUUUAAUCUGAGUCCAGUAUCAAUUUUCUUCUGUUUUACAUUCCUGGUCCCAUCUUCCAGAACUCUGGUCCUGAGGGCCCCCCAGGCUCUCCCUCUAUUUUACCUCCUCGGUUUGGGUUUGUCAAGGUCUGCCCCUCUCCUUCCCAUCUCUUUUUCCUUUUCCCCUCCUCCUUUCCUCCCCCUCUACCUUCUUAAACAGCUUAAGUCCCUCUUCUCCCUUCUGUCUUGCACAGUACCUCUGAGCUCCACUCCCUGUUCUUAAGGAAAUCAGCCAGGCCUCAGAUGGAGCUGUUGUCCUGACAACCCACAGCCUCCUCAGGCUUCAUUGAGGCUGGCUGCUGCUGAAGGGGCAGUUGUGCAGAGCAGAGCUGGGGGCCAAGCCGGGGGAGGGGGAGGGGAUGACGUGGAGGGGCUGUUGGCCGCGGGCAGGGUAGGGGGGAGGUGCGGAGUAGAGUGUGAGCCCGGACUGGAGGCAGGAACAGGAAAGGGAGGAGGGGGAGAGACUCCGGGCUGCUUCUGGGGCUCCUGCGAGGCUGUUUCUUUACACUCACUGGCAGACUCGGGCCGGCUCCCUCCCGCCUGGGAAAGUGGGUUACCGGGAGUAGGCGCUCGGCUCCGGCGCUGGCAGAGGAGCAUCCAGCCACAGAGAGACCAGGACUGCCCGUUCGCAGCGUGGAUUUUAACCGAGGCACGGACAACAUCACCGUGAGGCAGGGGGACACGGCCAUCCUCAGACUUUACAGAGAACAAGAGUGCUCUGCAUCAGGGCACGUGCUGCGCUGCAUAUUUUUAGUCCACAAGGAAGGCCACAGCUAUGAGGAUAGACUUCCAGGAAUCCACGCAGAGGGAAAAACAGAGGGAGCAGAAAAUGUGAAAGGGCAGGAAGACGGGAUGGUGCAUGACUCCAAAGACAGCAUGUACGCCAGCUCCAGCGUGGCUCUGUGUGCGUUUUUUUCCCUGCUCCUUUUCCCAUUCCCUCCCCCUCAGAUAGACAAAACACUGAAACCACCAGGAUCCCAGGUUAUGCCUUCAAUCACCAA
rnacentral:lncRNA from 1 species